UGCCAGCAAUCAUCACCAUUCCUAUUUCCUGCUGCUCUUUGUUUCACCACAUGGCCAGCACCCACGAGGUGGACAAACCCAUUGCCAUCAAAAAUCUGGCUGUAUUUACAGAGAUUUGAUGGCAAGAAGGGCCAUGAACCUUCGGUCUGACACCCUUUAGCACCGCCUGGGGGAGACAAUUUACAGAGCUUUGCAGGGGAAGAAACCAUGGAAGUUCAGAAGUGGCCAUGGUGCUGCAAGUGGACAAAAGUGAAAAGAGGACAGUACUCAUCUGGUCAUUGACAGGGAUGAGGACAAGGCCAGAUCGGUCUGCUUAGCACAAGGAGACUUUACAGCCCUGUUGCCCCCAGGCAUCCUGUUUCAAGUGUGGAGCCCUUGAAAGAAGAUCUCAGCAUGGGAAAAAAAAGCCCUACAAGAGUCUUCUGAUAGAGGGAGAGGUCUGGGGAGGUUGGCAGGAUGAAGAGAGGUGUCACUUGACUUUCUGGACCUCUGAGGCUGGCAAAACUAAAGUUAGGUGUUAAAAAGGCACUUCAAAGGUCAUCAAGCACUUGCAAAGAACCUCUGCAUGGUUGUCUCGAUGCUGUGAAUACCCACAUGUUGGCAGUGUGUGCCAUGGCAGGUCAGGCCACAAACGAGAACACCUGUUACACUGAGUUCCCAUCCCACCUGUAUCACAAACGUGGACACAUCAGGCUGUGGAAGUUGCUUUAAGGGUCUUGGGGAUUUCUCCACUUAAUUUAGGCAUCUAAAAAGAAGAAGGAAAGGAUCUUCCUCACUGAUUUGACUCUAACUGUUGGCAUCUGUUGCAGAGGAGCUGGUUUCCUGAGCAGAUGAAAUUUAGGUGCUUUGCCUGAGAGAGUGUGACCCUGCAGCAGCUGCUUUCUCCAGUUUGUGAUUGUGUUUAUUCAGAUAGGAAGAAGAGUCCAGGUCCAUCUGUCCCUGUGUGUUCCUGCACAGUGCUUGGUGCUGACAGACGAAAUGUAGCUGUAGUGCAAAAAAAAACAAGCAGCCAAUAAAACAAAACAUCCCAAACCUCCCCCCCCCCCCCCGCCCCCCGCAGUGUUUUAAGCUACCAAACACAUAAUACAUGAGGAAACUAUGGCAAGAGCCCAGCAAGUCUUGCAGAGUAAUGUGAGCUGCCUGGACCUCAUCUGGCCACACAUGUCUUGAGGAUGAAUUUAUAUCUGGAAGCAUUUAGUGCAGCUCCCUUGCAAAUGUCUUGCAAUACUUAUUUAAUUUACAGGCAGCUUCCAGUGUGAAACCCCAGUGGGGUUUAGACGAGAAUUGCUGGCACCAUCUGAUAAAGGGUUUGCCUGGAAUGUGAUGUGGAUCCUGUGUGGUGGCCACAUCUCCCAGUGGAGUGAGCAAGCUGCUUUUGCCACUGGUUCUUGUUGCUCCUGCCAUGCUUGGCAGCCUGGGGGGAAGCAGCACCACUAGGCAGCAGGCAGCAGUGGACGGGUGCCCCUGGUGUGACCAGGAUGUCGUUGUGCAGCUAUUAGAGCUGUCUCUGUGGGGAAAGGAGAAGCUGCAUGAUUAGAUGGUGUUUUUGCUUUGCCAUUCUGAGAGGAUUAAGCUGUGGCAACUGAAAAAUCCAAGAUCUUUUUUAAGGAAAACAGAGCCUUACCCUGGAGCACCUCACACAGCUCCUCUCAGGAGUUCAUGUUAAGUUAGUUAUAUGAAGGUCUGAGUCAGGCAGUCCAAGGACAUCUCUGCAAUUGCCCUUUCUGCACCAAGGAUUAAAGAAUGAGGUAACCUCUCUGCA